rnacentral:rRNA from 1 species
UACAGAGGUCUCAAGCGUUGUUCGGAUUCAUUGGGCGUAAAGGGUGCGUAGGCGGUGAUGUAAGCUGGAUGUGAAAUCCCGGGGCUUAACCCCGGAACUGCAUUCAAUACUGCGUUGCUAGAGUACUGGAGAGGAGAUUGGAAUUCACGGUGUAGCAGUGAAAUGCGUAGAUAUCGUGAGGAAGACCAGUGGCGAAGGCGAAACUCUGGACAGUUUCUGACGCUGAGGCACGAAGGCCAGGGGAGCAAACGGG